GGUUAAGCGACUAAGCGUACACGGUGGAUGCCCUGGCAGUCAGAGGCGAUGAAGGACGUGCUAAUCUGCGAUAAGCGUCGGUAAGGUGAUAUGAACCGUUAUAACCGGCGAUUUCCGAAUGGGGAAACCCAGUGUGAUUCGUCACACUAUCAUUAACUGAAUCCAUAGGUUAAUGAGGCGAACCGGGGGAACUGAAACAUCUAAGUACCCCGAGGAAAAGAAAUCAACCGAGAUUCCCCCAGUAGCGGCGAGCGAACGGGGAGCAGCCCAGAGCCUGAAUCAGUGUGUGUGUUAGUGGAAGCGUCUGGAAAGGCGCGCGAUACAGGGUGACAGCCCCGUACACAAAAAUGCACAUGCUGUGAGCUCGAUGAGUAGGGCGGGACACGUGGUAUCCUGUCUGAAUAUGGGGGGACCAUCCUCCAAGGCUAAAUACUCCUGACUGACCGAUAGUGAACCAGUACCGUGAGGGAAAGGCGAAAAGAACCCCGGCGAGGGGAGUGAAAAAGAACCUGAAACCGUGUACGUACAAGCAGUGGGAGCACGCUUAGGCGUGUGACUGCGUACCUUUUGUAUAAUGGGUCAGCGACUUAUAUUCUGUAGCAAGGUUAACCGAAUAGGGGAGCCGAAGGGAAACCGAGUCUUAACUGGGCGUUAAGUUGCAGGGUAUAGACCCGAAACCCGGUGAUCUAGCCAUGGGCAGGUUGAAGGUUGGGUAACACUAACUGGAGGACCGAACCGACUAAUGUUGAAAAAUUAGCGGAUGACUUGUGGCUGGGGGUGAAAGGCCAAUCAAACCGGGAGAUAGCUGGUUCUCCCCGAAAGCUAUUUAGGUAGCGCCUCGUGAAUUCAUCUCCGGGGGUAGAGCACUGUUUCGGCAAGGGGGUCAUCCCGACUUACCAACCCGAUGCAAACUGCGAAUACCGGAGAAUGUUAUCACGGGAGACACACGGCGGGUGCUAACGUCCGUCGUGAAGAGGGAAACAACCCAGACCGCCAGCUAAGGUCCCAAAGUCAUGGUUAAGUGGGAAACGAUGUGGGAAGGCCCAGACAGCCAGGAUGUUGGCUUAGAAGCAGCCAUCAUUUAAAGAAAGCGUAAUAGCUCACUGGUCGAGUCGGCCUGCGCGGAAGAUGUAACGGGGCUAAACCAUGCACCGAAGCUGCGGCAGCGACGCUUAUGCGUUGUUGGGUAGGGGAGCGUUCUGUAAGCCUGUGAAGGUGUACUGUGAGGUAUGCUGGAGGUAUCAGAAGUGCGAAUGCUGACAUAAGUAACGAUAAAGCGGGUGAAAAGCCCGCUCGCCGGAAGACCAAGGGUUCCUGUCCAACGUUAAUCGGGGCAGGGUGAGUCGACCCCUAAGGCGAGGCCGAAAGGCGUAGUCGAUGGGAAACAGGUUAAUAUUCCUGUACUUGGUGUUACUGCGAAGGGGGGACGGAGAAGGCUAUGUUGGCCGGGCGACGGUUGUCCCGGUUUAAGCGUGUAGGCUGGUUUUCCAGGCAAAUCCGGAAAAUCAAGGCUGAGGCGUGAUGACGAGGCACUACGGUGCUGAAGCAACAAAUGCCCUGCUUCCAGGAAAAGCCUCUAAGCAUCAGGUAACAUCAAAUCGUACCCCAAACCGACACAGGUGGUCAGGUAGAGAAUACCAAGGCGCUUGAGAGAACUCGGGUGAAGGAACUAGGCAAAAUGGUGCCGUAACUUCGGGAGAAGGCACGCUGAUAUGUAGGUGAAGUCCCUCGCGGAUGGAGCUGAAAUCAGUCGAAGAUACCAGCUGGCUGCAACUGUUUAUUAAAAACACAGCACUGUGCAAACACGAAAGUGGACGUAUACGGUGUGACGCCUGCCCGGUGCCGGAAGGUUAAUUGAUGGGGUCAGCGCAAGCGAAGCUCUUGAUCGAAGCCCCGGUAAACGGCGGCCGUAACUAUAACGGUCCUAAGGUAGCGAAAUUCCUUGUCGGGUAAGUUCCGACCUGCACGAAUGGCGUAAUGAUGGCCAGGCUGUCUCCACCCGAGACUCAGUGAAAUUGAACUCGCUGUGAAGAUGCAGUGUACCCGCGGCAAGACGGAAAGACCCCGUGAACCUUUACUAUAGCUUGACACUGAACAUUGAGCCUUGAUGUGUAGGAUAGGUGGGAGGCUUUGAAGUGUGGACGCCAGUCUGCAUGGAGCCGACCUUGAAAUACCACCCUUUAAUGUUUGAUGUUCUAACGUGGACCCGUAAUCCGGGUUGCGGACAGUGUCUGGUGGGUAGUUUGACUGGGGCGGUCUCCUCCUAAAGAGUAACGGAGGAGCACGAAGGUUGGCUAAUCCUGGUCGGACAUCAGGAGGUUAGUGCAAUGGCAUAAGCCAGCUUGACUGCGAGCGUGACGGCGCGAGCAGGUGCGAAAGCAGGUCAUAGUGAUCCGGUGGUUCUGAAUGGAAGGGCCAUCGCUCAACGGAUAAAAGGUACUCCGGGGAUAACAGGCUGAUACCGCCCAAGAGUUCAUAUCGACGGCGGUGUUUGGCACCUCGAUGUCGGCUCAUCACAUCCUGGGGCUGAAGUAGGUCCCAAGGGUAUGGCUGUUCGCCAUUUAAAGUGGUACGCGAGCUGGGUUUAGAACGUCGUGAGACAGUUCGGUCCCUAUCUGCCGUGGGCGCUGGAGAAUUGAGGGGGGCUGCUCCUAGUACGAGAGGACCGGAGUGGACGCAUCACUGGUGUUCGGGUUGUCAUGCCAAUGGCACUGCCCGGUAGCUAAAUGCGGAAGAGAUAAGUGCUGAAAGCAUCUAAGCACGAAACUUGCCCCGAGAUGAGUUCUCCCUGACUCCUUGAGAGUCCUGAAGGAACGUUGAAGACGACGACGUUGAUAGGCCGGGUGUGUAAGCGCAGCGAUGCGUUGAGCUAACCGGUACUAAUGAACCGUGAGGCUUAACCUU
rnacentral:rRNA from 1 species